rnacentral:rRNA from 1 species
GACGAACGCUGGCGGCGUGCCUAAUACAUGCCAGUAGAACGCUGAAGGAGGAGCUUGCUCUUCUGGAUGAGUUGCGAACGGGUGAGUAACGCGUAGGUAACCUGCCUGGUAGCGGGGGAUAACUAUUGGAAACGAUAGCUAAUACCGCAUAACAGUAGAUGUUGCAUGACAUUUACUUAAAAGGUGCAAUUGCAUCACUACCAGAUGGACCUGCGUUGUAUUAGCUAGUUGGUGGGGUAACGGCUCACCAAGGCGACGAUACAUAGCCGACCUGAGAGGGUGAUCGGCCACACUGGGACUGAGACACGGCCCAGACUCCUACGGGAGGCAGCAGUAGGGAAUCUUCGGCAAUGGACGGAAGUCUGACCGAGCAACGCCGCGUGAGUGAAGAAGGUUGUCGGAUCGUAAAGCUCUGUUGUGAGAGAAGAACGAGUGUGAGAGUGGAAAGUUCACACUGUGACGGUAUCUUACCAGAAAGGGACGGCUAACUACGUG